rnacentral:rRNA from 1 species
GAUGAACGCUGGCGGCGUGCCUAAUACAUGCAAGUCGAGCGAACAGAUAAGGAGCUUGCUCCUUUGACGUUAGCGGCGGACGGGUGAGUAACACGUGGGUAACCUACCUAUAAGACUGGAAUAACUCCGGGAAACCGGGGCUAAUGCCGGAUAACAUUUAGAGCCGCAUGGUUCUAAAGUGAAAGAUGGUUUUACUAUCACUUAUAGAUGGACCCGCGCCGUAUUAGCUAGUUGGUAAGGUAACGGCUUACCAAGGCAACGAUACGUAGCCGACCUGAGAGGGUGAUCGGCCACACUGGAACUGAGACACGGUCCAGACUCCUACGGGAGGCAGCAGUAGGGAAUCUUCCGCAAUGGGCGAAAGCCUGACGGAGCAACGCCGCGUGAGUGAUGAAGGUCUUCGGAUCGUAAAACUCUGUUAUUAGGGAAGAACAAAUGUGUAAGUAACUGUGCACGUCUUGACGGUACCUAAUCAGAAAGCCACGGCUAACUACGUG